GGACUUUGGCAUAUGUUCAAGCACCACUUUCUUUGAUGGCCAGGUAUUGAGUUCUUGUAACUGGAAGUACAUGAAAUUUAGCCAAGUAUAAAAUACUUAUCCACAUUUGGUGAUAAACUAUAAAGUAUGGAAAUUUCUUUGUUUUCUUUGGCCUGGCGUAGUUUCAUCAAGGUAAUAAAUAGUUGUUCUUCUGGGGUUAGAUUGAAAGGUUUGUACUUUAAUUCGUAGGCAGCUGGUCCAAGUGAUUGAAAAAAAAAUUAAAA